rnacentral:rRNA from 1 species
GUAGCGAAAGCGAGUCUGAAUAGGGCGUUUAGUAUUUGGUCGUAGACCCGAAACCAGGUGAUCUACCCUUGGUCAGGUUGAAGUUCAGGUAACACUGAAUGGAGGACCGAACCGACUUACGUUGAAAAGUGAGCGGAUGAACUGAGGGUAGCGGAGAAAUUCCAAUCGAACCUGGAGAUAGCUGGUUCUCUCCGAAAUAGCUUUAGGGCUAGCCUCAAGUGAUGAUUAUUGGAGGUAGAGCACUGUUUGGACGAGGGGCCCCUCUCGGGUUACCGAAUUCAGACAAACUCCGAAUGCCAAUUAAUUUAACUUGGGAGUCAGAACAUGGGUGAUAAGGUCCGUGUUCGAAAGGGAAACAGCCCAGACCACCAGCUAAGGU